CCUACGGGAGGCAGCAGUAGGGAAUUUUGCGCAAUGGGCGAAAGUCUGACGCAGCAACGCCGCGUGAUCGAGACGCCCUUCGGGGUGUAAAGAUCUGUCAGUGGGGACGAAACUUGACGGUACCCACAGAGGAAGCACCGGCUAACUCCGUGCCAGCAGCCGCGGUAAUACGGGGGGUGCAAGCGUUGUCCGGAAUCAUUGGGCGUAAAGAGUUCGUAGGCGGCACGUAAAGUCUGGUGUUAAAGGCAGAGGCUCAACUUCUGUACGGCACUGGAUACUUGCGAGCUAGAGUGCGGUAGAGGUAAAGGGAAUUCCUGGUGUAGCGGUGAAAUGCUUAGAUAUCAGGAGGAACAUCGGUGGCGAAAGCGCUUUACUGGGCCGUAAUUGACGCUGAGGAACGAAAGCCAGGGUAGCAAAUGGGAUUAGAUACCCCUGUAGUC
rnacentral:rRNA from 1 species